GCAGGCUCACUCUGCACUCGGCCGCACACCCGGGCGGGUGCUUUUUCCGUCUGCCAGAGAAACAUGCCAGGGUGCUGUGGCCACACCUCGACCUGUCGGGGUGAUGCAGCUGCCCCGGGACACGGCG